GAUUUCAACUAAAAAAGUCAUCAACAACAAAGUUGUAUAACUCACCAAGAUCUAUAACUUUUAUGUUUGUCAUUUCUUCAUCUGAUAAAGUGUUAGUAAUAUUGUUCAUAAAAUUUACAUAUUUGUGUUAUAGUUUAUAAACCAGAUGAGAGAUAUGUGAAUUUAUUGAACAAUGUUAUGAUCACUUUGUCAGAUGAAGAAAUGACCAAAAUAAAAGUUAUAGAUCUUGAUGAGUUAUACAACUUUGUUGUUGAUGACUUUUUCAGUUGAAAUC
rnacentral:pre_miRNA from 1 species